rnacentral:rRNA from 1 species
UUUCGGGGAGGACGCUCACCACUUUGUGGUUCAUGACUGGGGUGAAGUCGUAACAAGGUAGCGCUAGGGGAACCUGGCGCUGGAUCACCUCCUUAUACGAUGAU